GUCAUUCACACUUCUGUUUCAGAGUCAUUCGCAUCUAUGUCCUCUUCAGGAUCUAAGGUCACUAAUGAUGAUGGGCUUGUCCCAGAGAGCUUCAGAGACCCUGUAGCAGUUAGUGCCUUAGGGAACCUUUGAUGGUAUCGACGCAGAGUGAGAAAGGGAAGAGAUACCUCGCUUGAACUCUUGUCCACAGCAAUAUGCACAAUAUUUGCUCCAGCAUCAAUACAUUUUUCCAAGAUAGCAUCUUGAAUAAUUACAUGCCAACGGUCCUCUAGCUCCCUGUACAGACAAACAAAUAUUCCGUAUGAGUCUUUUUUUAAACUUGUUCCCAAGCCCUUUUCUGGCCAAUUGUCCAGGGUUAAAAGAAGGGAAAAGGGCCUGGGGACCUGGUUGAUUUUAUUUCUGAUUUCAUGACAGUUUCACUUACACAUCAGGAUCAAACAUGUUUCUUAUCUUCAAGCAUGGUGUUGGGCUGACUACAGGAGGGUUUACAGCCCACUGGAAGUUUUCAAAGGCUGAAGUAGAAUAAGAAUGSCAUUACUUUGAAUUAAMUUACUAAAAAUA